rnacentral:lncRNA from 12 species
UGUGUGUGUGCCCUGCCCUCUGGGGCCCUGCUGGGCUUGUGGAACAGACCAGAAGCCAGCCCAGCCCAGAGGUGGGAGGUGGGUACAUUCUUGUCCUCAAGGGGCACAAAGAAUUAAGCCAAAUAUUGGCAGCUGCAUCCUGGGCUGCAUCUCAGGCAAGAGCAAUCCAACCCUGCUUCCUUCCCUGAAUUUAGCAUCUGCCUCAUAAAUUCUCCUUUCCUGGGACUGCCUGACACAGGAGCACACUUAUUUAAGAAUCCAUCGGAGAUUUCCUGGACAACAAACACAAGUAGUGGAUACAUAAUGUAUUUGAAGACCUAUAAAAGUUUCAUCCUUGAGGGCCCGCUGGGAGGAGGAUGCUCGACUGUAACUUUUAAUUGUGGAGCUGAGAAAUAAAAUACAGAUAAGGGAUAGUUACUGUAACUGGCAGCAGACCAGAGUAAAUGUUGGAUGCAGCUAUCCGUAUCCAUGAAUACAUGAGUAACUUUAUGCUCUUGCGUUGUGUAAUUGGAUUCUGUGGGACUGUGAAUUUGGGUAAACUUACUCAUGCGCGGGCGUUGUCUGAGGACUGAGGAAAGCGAGCGCUUUCUCUGUGGCGCAGAGGAGCAGUUUCAGGGUGAUUUUGGAUAACUGAUGUCCG